GACGGAGGAUGCAAGCGUUAUCCGGAAUUAUUGGGCGUAAAGCGUCCGUAGGUGGUUGUACAAGUCAGUUGUUAAAGCCCACAGCUCAACUGUGGAUCGGCAAUUGAAACUGUACGACUUGAGUGUGGUAGGGGUAGAGGGAAUUCCUAGUGUAGCGGUGAAAUGCGUAGAUAUUAGGAAGAACACCAGUGGCGAAGGCGCUCUACUGGGCCAUAACUGACACUGAUGGACGAAAGCUAGGGGAGCGAAAGGG
rnacentral:rRNA from 1 species